rnacentral:rRNA from 1 species
GCCGGGGGAUGCAAGCGUUAUCCGGAGUCACUGGGCGUAAAGCGUCUUGAGGUGGUGAUGCAAGUCACUGGUGCAAAACUCUGGCUCAACCGGAGGAAAGCCAGUGAAACUGCAUGACUAGAGUGUGGGAGAGGUAGAAGGAAUUCCCUGAGUAGCGGUGAAAUGCGUAGAUACAGGGAAGAACACCGGAGGCGAAAGCGUACUACGGGAACUCAACUGACAAUGAGAGAUGAAAGCUAGGGGAGCGAAUGGG